rnacentral:lncRNA from 1 species
CAUAAUCAUAAGCAAUGUGGAGGAAAAGAAAAUAAUUAACCUAAACUACUUUGGAAAACAGUAUUUUGGCUGAUAUUAUAAAACUAAAGUCAAAAGAUACUCUACACAAACACUAUAUUCUAAUUAGAAAAUAUGUUUCUUACAGUGGAAUGGAUCAGCCAAUCUGGAUCUACCUGAUUGAUCAAAUAGGUAAAUAUAAUAUAGAGACACCAGAAAGUUUUCUGAAUAAAUACAAGAAGCCUCUUCUGGAGUCUCCAGGAAAACGGACGAUAAUUUGUAGCUCAAUGUAUCUCCACUUUUUUUUUUUUUCUGUGACUUGCUGACGUGUAUCUUGAAUUGGAGAGAGUAAAAUGAAGAAUUUGAACUCCUGGGCCAGAAACAUGCAAGUGGUUCGGAUCAAGGUAAUUUUGAUCCCUGCUGACUUCAGAGGACAGUUUGAAAGGAGACUUCUUCCCUUCUCUCAAGGGCUGAUUGCUGACGUCCAAAUAUGUCUCAAGGUUUAGUUCCUUGUAGAUGGAGCCAUCUCCCCAAAUAUGGAAAGUUCUCCUUUGAGUUUAAUCAAAUCAAGGCAGAGAAUUUUCUCCAUACUGAACAAAAUAUACAGUGCACUUCUGUGUUUCUUGUAAAGCACCUCAGAUCUGUGUAUGAGGAUGGCCUAAAAUUCCACUAACAGACUUCAAGAAGGAAAAAAUCAGCGAAUACAACCUCCAGUUUUUAGCUAGGCAUAUGCCAAGCUGAAUAAAGACUACAUUUCUCGAUCUCCUUUAAAAUUAACUCUGUUUACCUUCUGCCAAAUGAUAUGUAAGAAGAAAUGUUUUGUGUGGGCCUCUAAGAAAUCUUCUAAGAGUUGGUGCAUGCCCAUUGACACUUCAUUCUUCAUUCUCUGUCCUUUUUCCCGGAUCAUGAGGCAGAUGGCUGGAUCUCCAACAAUCAUAGAGGAUUGUGAGGUCAAGGCCAUAUCCUAGGAAUAGUGAAAUAGUGAGUUAGAAAAAGACCAAAUCCGAAAACUUCAUGGAGAAGAACAAUUAUAUCAGUCAUGGAAUAAUUUUCAUGUCAAAGAAUGAGAAAUAAACUAUGUUAUUUAAAUCACUAAUGUUUUGUUUUUCUCUGUCACAUACAGCCACGUGUAAUUCUAAUUGGGUCAGGGUGCUUUGUGGUGAGUUCAAU